GGCAACCAUGCCCGGGGGGCGUCGAUUCACAAGAUAGUCAAAGAAAAAGUGCAUAAUCAACAGACCGGAACGCAUGAAAGCAACAACGACAAAUGGAGGCCUACGUAGACGCGAGAUUGUGCGAAGAGAUUAACGAAGGUCUUACGGGUGUGGAACGGCACGAGGGUCCGUCCAGGUAUAUAAGUUACCUCCUCCAAAGGGAGCCCAGAUGACACGUCUGAUGGCUUUGACCCAAUCCUCCAUGUCAUUCUGGGAGUUUGCCAUGAGCAGGAAAGCCUCAUGGCUGAGAGCCGAUCUGUCCUUCUCUCCUGUACAGCCUAUGGAGAUAGAGAGUGUGAAAAAUGAAUAAAUCAUUUGAUUGACACUAA